AAAAGCAUACAUGAAUUAGGUGCCCAUUAGACAAUAAGGGGUAACAGGGAAUCGGGUGCAACUCCCGAGCGGUCCCGCCACUGUAUUCGGGGAGUUUUUUUUCAUGCAGGUCACUCGAUAAUGAAUCGGGGAAGACGGAAGAAAACGAAGAUCCGAAAGCCAGGAGACCUACCUAAUUUAAUCACCCGAC
rnacentral:ncRNA from 2 species